GACGAACGCUGGCGGCGUGGAUUAGGCAUGCAAGUCGAACGGUAUCAUCCUUUCGGGGGUGAGAGAGUGGCGAACUGGUGAGUAACACGUAGGUUAUCUACCCUCAAGACGGGGACAACCCAGGGAAACUUGGGCUAAUACCGGAUGUGAGCAACUUUUAGUUGUUUGAAAGGUGGCGUAAGCUGUCGCUUGGGGAUGAGCCUGCGUCCUAUUAGUUAGUUGGUGAGGUAACGGCUCACCUAGGCAAUGAUAGGUAGGCGGCCUUAACGGGUGGUCGCCCACACUGGGAUUGAGAUACGGCCCAGACUCCUACGGGAGGCAGCAGUCGAGAAUAGUCUACAAUGGUCGGAAGACUGAUAGUGCGACGCCGCGUGAACGAUGAAUCCCUUCGGGGUGUAAAGUUCUUUUAUAUGUGAGCAGUGCUUCUUAUAUUAACAGUAUGGGGAGAGAGAUAUUAGCAUAUGAAUAAGCAACGGCUAAACUCCGUGCCAGCAGCCGCGGUAAAACGU
rnacentral:rRNA from 1 species